rnacentral:rRNA from 1 species
UACAGGGGGUGCAAACGUUGCUCGGAAUUAUUGGGCGUAAAGCGCGCGUAGGCGGCUACUUAAGUCGGAUGUGAAAGCCCUUGGCUCAACUGAGGAAGUGCACCCGAAACUGAGUGGCUUGAGUACGAAAGAGGGUCGCGGAAUUCCCGGUGUAGAGGUGAAAUUCGUAGAUAUCGGGAGGAACACCGGUGGCGAAGGCGGCGACCUGGGUCGAUACUGACGCUGAUGCGCGAAAGCGUGGGGAGCAAACAGG